CAGCUUUGGCUGGGCAACUUCCAGACUUAAUGAACAUCAUCUGUACUGCGAAGCCAAGAAAUUCUUGUUUCUUCAUUUCUCUACCUCUCCCAGGAAAUGGUUGAAGAUGGGUCAUCCAAGCAGCUGCAGCUUUCAUGGCAAACCACAGCUGCUGAUGUCACAUUGUUCACGCUUCAGAGAUUCGCCGGGGUGUGGCACUACUACUUCUACAAGAAGACCGCUCUGCUCAUGGCCGACGAUCGACUGUACCAUCCGAGCGACUGGCCUCCCACGACAAAGUGCCUCGAAGUCACGGCAGAGCAGCCAACGUGACGUCGGCUUGUUCGCACAGAGAUGCAAAAGUCUUGGAACAUUGAAACAAUAGUUUUUAA
rnacentral:lncRNA from 1 species